UACGUAGGGCGCAAGCGUUAUCCGGAAUUAUUGGGCGUAAAGAGCUCGUAGGCGGUUUGUCGCGUCUGCCGUGAAAGUCCGGGGCUCAACUCCGGAUCUGCGGUGGGUACGGGCAGACUAGAGUGAUGUAGGGGAGACUGGAAUUCCUGGUGUAGCGGUGAAAUGCGCAGAUAUCAGGAGGAACACCCGUAGCGAAGGCGGCACUCUGGGCCGAUUCUGACACUGAGGAGCGAAAGCGUGGGGAGCGAACAGG
rnacentral:rRNA from 1 species